rnacentral:rRNA from 1 species
GCGGGAAAAAGUAGCCUUGCUACUUUUKCCCGGCCGAGCGGCGGACGGGUGAGUAAUGCCUGGGAAAUUGCCCAGUCGAGGGGGAUAACAGUUGGAAACGACUGCUAAUACCGCAUACGCCCUACGGGGGAAAGCAGGGGACCUUCGGGCCUUGCGCGAUUGGAUAUGCCCAGGUGGGAUUAGACUAGUUGGUGAGGUAAUGGCUCACCAAGGCGACGAUCCCUAGCUGGUCUGAGAGGAUGAUCAGCCACACUGGAACUGAGACACGGUCCAGACUCCUACGGGAGGCAGCAGUGGGGAAUAUUGCACAAUGGGGGAAACCCUGAUGCAGCCAUGCCGCGUGUGUGAAGAAGGCCUUCGGGUUGUAAAGCACUUUCAGCGAGGAGGAAAGGUCAGUAGCUAAUAUCUGCUGACUGGGACGUACCGCUAAGA